GGGGGGACGGAGAAGGCUAGGUGGGCCUGGCGACGGUUGUCCAGGUUCAAGUGCGUAGGCUUAAGAGUUAGGUAAAUCCGGCUCUUUCUAAGGCUGAGACACGACGUCGAGCACCUACGGGUGUGAAGUCAUUGAUGCCAUGCUUCCAGGAAAAGCCUCUAAGCUUCAGAUUGUAAGGAAUCGUACCCCAAACCGACACAGGUGGUCGGGUAGAGAAUACCAAGGCGCUUGAGAGAACUCGGGUGAAGGAACUAGGCAAAAUGGUACCGUAACUUCGGGAGAAGGUACGCUCUCGACGGUGAAGUCCCUCGCGGAUGGAGCU
rnacentral:rRNA from 1 species